UCACCUUGUGACACAGUAGGUGUUGGGGGAUUGAAAGGAGGUGGUGGAGAAAAAGGUGGAGCUCCAGGGCAGGGUUUUGUAGUACCCGGGCCACAAAGAUCUUUAUUAUUAGCAAAACUUAUAGGGGUAAAGAGUGAAAAGGAGCCAGUAGACGGAACCUCUCCUGAGAGAUUAAAGGGAACUUACAGAACUUGAAGAGUAGUGAUAUUGGUCAAGGAUUUUGGAAUUGAACCAGAAAGACUGUUGUUG
rnacentral:sRNA from 1 species